UACGUAGGGGGCGAGCGUUGUCCGGAAUCAUUGGGCGUAAAGCGCGUGUAGGCGGCCCGAUAAGUCCGCUGUGAAAGUCCAGGGCUCAACCCUGGGAUGCCGGUGGAUACUGUCGGGCUCGAGUCCGGAAGAGGCGAGUGGAAUUCCUGGUGUAGCGGUGAAAUGCGCAGAUAUCAGGAGGAACACCAAUGGCGAAGGCAGAUCUCUGGGCCGUAACUGACGCUGAGGAGCGAAAGCAUGGGGAGCGAACAGG
rnacentral:rRNA from 1 species